GGUGCUGAACGAAAUACCACACACUGGGUUGCUUAAAGUAACAGAAACUUAUUCUUUCCUAGUUCUGGAGUCUGGAAGUCUGAAAUCAAGGUG